rnacentral:rRNA from 1 species
UACGGAGGGAGCUAGCGUUGUUCGGAAUUACUGGGCGUAAAGCGCGCGUAGGCGGCUUUGUAAGUUAGAGGUGAAAGCCCGGAGCUCAACUCCGGAACUGCCUUUAAAACUGCAUCGCUUGAAUCCAGGAGAGGUGAGUGGAAUUCCGAGUGUAGAGGUGAAAUUCGUAGAUAUUCGGAAGAACACCAGUGGCGAAGGCGGCUCACUGGACUGGUAUUGACGCUGAGGUGGCGAAAGCGUUGGGGAGCAAACAGG